rnacentral:rRNA from 1 species
GAUGAACGCUGGCGGCGUGCCUAAAACAUGCAAGUCGAGCGGUAAGGCUCUGCACUUAGUGUUUGAUCGAAGUAAUUUAUUACUACAGUAGACCAAUUGGAACCUUGGCGGGUGAAGAGCGGAAUAGGAAGAUCGAAUUAUAAGUGUAGAGUACACGAGCGGCGGACGGGUGAGUAACACGUGGGAAUCUACCCCAAACUGAGGGAUAAGCACCGGAAACGGUGUCUAAUACCGCAUAUGGUCUUCGGAUUAAAGCUUCGGCGGUUUGGGAAGAGCCCGCGUAAGAUUAGCUAGUUGGUGAGGUAAAGGCUCACCAAGGCGACGAUCUUUAGCUGGUUUGAGAGGAUGAUCAGCCACACUGGAACUGAGACACGGUCCAGACUCCUACGGGAGGCGAGCAGUUAGGAAUUUACCACAAUGGGCGCAAGCCUGAUGGAGCAACGCCGCGUGCAGGAUGAAGGUUUUCGGAUUGUAAACUGCUUUAUGUGUGAAGAAUA